rnacentral:rRNA from 1 species
UCAUAAACAACCAGGAUGUUGGCUCAGAAGCAGCCACCAUUUAAAGAGUGCGUAAUAGCUCACUGGUCGAGAGACGCUGCGCCGAAAAUGUCCGGGGCUCAAGCACGGAACCGAAGCUAUGGCAUUGCGUAAGCAAUGGGUAGGGGAGCGUUCUUAUGGGGAAGAAGCAUUACCGUAAGGAGAUGUGGACACAUAAGAAGUGAGAAUGCCGGUAUGAGUAUCGAAAAGAAAGGUGAGAAUCCUUUCCACCGAAAGCCCGAGGGUUCCUGAGCAACGAUCGUCGUCUCAGGGUAAGUCGGGACCUAAGCCGAGGCACAGACGCAUAGGCGAUGGACAACAGGUUGAAAUUCCUGUACCGGAUGGAGUCAUUUGAGCAAUGGAGUGACGCAGGAGGGCACAUGAUCGCGCGACUGGAAGAGCGCGUCCAAGUGCGUAUGUUGAAUCGGAGGCAAAUCCCCGAUUCUGAAAGCAGAGACAUGAUGGGGAGUUAUAAGCGAUUAUGACGAACUCAUGGAUCCCACACUGCCAAGAAAAACUUCUAGCGAGACGAAAUCCGCCCGUACCGUAAACCGACACAGGUAGGCGGGGAGAGAAUCCUAAGGUGCGCGGGAAAACCCUCGUUAAGGAACUCGGCAAAUUGCAUCCGUAACUUCGGGAGAAGGAUGGCCCUGAGUAGGCGAAGUGCAGAAACGCACGGAACAGAAAAGGGUGGCAGAAAAGAGGCCCAAGCAACUGUUUACCAAAAACACAGGUGCCUGCGAAAGCGAAAGCUGAAGUAUAGGUGCUGACGCCUGCCCGGUGCUGGAAGGUUAAGGAGAGAGGUUAGCGCAAGCGAAGCUUUGAACUGAAGCCCCAGUGAACGGCGGCCGUAACUAUAACGGUCCUAAGGUAGCGAAAUUCCUUGUCGGGUAAGUUCCGACCCGCACGAAAGGUGUAACGAUUUGGGCACUGUCUCAACGAGGGACCCGGUGAAAUUGAAAUACCUGUGAAGAUGCAGGUUACCCGCGACUGGACAGAAAGACCCCAUGGAGCUUUACUGCAGCUUGAGAUUGAAUCCCGGUGGCAGACGCACAGGAUAGGUGGGAGGCUUUGAGAUAGUGACUUUGGUUGCUAUGGAGCCGACGUUGGGAUACCACCCUUCUGUUGCUGGGAUUCUAACGCGAAGAUUAACAACCUUGCGGACCAUCUCAGGUAGGCGGUUUGACUGGGGCGGUCGCCUCCGAAAGAGUAACGGAGGCGCCCAAAGGUUCCCUCAGGCCGGACAGAAACCGGCCGAAGAGUGCAAAGGCAGAAGGGAGCUUGACUGCGAGACAGACAAGUCGAGCAGAGACGAAAGUCGGGCUUAGUGAUCCGGUGGUACUGCGUGGAAAGGCCAUCGCUCAACGGAUAAAAGCUACCCUGGGGAUAACAGGCUAAUCUCUCCCAAGAGUUCAUAUCGACGGGGAGGUUUGGCACCUCGAUGUCGGCUCAUCACAUCCUGGAGCUGGAGUAGGUUCCAAGGGUUGGGCUGUUCGCCCAUUAAAGUGGUACGCGAGCUGGGUUCAAAACGUCGUGAGACAGUUUGGUUCAUAUCCAUCGCGGGCGCAAGAAGUUUGAGGGAGGCUGCUCCUAGUACGAGAGGACCGGAGUGGACGGAUCAACGGUGUACCAGUUGUCACGCCAGUGGCACGGCUGGAAAGCCGCAUCCGGAAAGGAUAAACGCUGAAAGCAUCUAAGCGUGAAGCCCGUCCCAAGAUGAGACUUCUCAUCAGCAAUGAGUAAGACCCCUUAAAGACGAUGAGGUUGAUAGGCUGUGAGUGGAAGAGCCGCGAGGCUUGGAGCGACGCAGUACUAAUAGGUCGAGGUCUUAACUUA